rnacentral:rRNA from 1 species
CCCUUAGAUGUCCGGGGCCGCACGCGCGCUACACUGAAGGAAUCAGCGUGGCUUUCUCCCUGACCCGAAAGGGUUGGGAAACCCGUUGAAUCUCCUUCGUGAUAGGGAUUGGGGCUUGAAAUUGUUCCCCAUGAACGAGGAAUUCCCAGUAAGCGCGAGUCAUAAGCUCGCGUUGAUUACGUCCCUGCCCUUUGUACACACCGCCCGUCGCUACUACCGAUUGAACGGUUUAGUGAGGGCCUCGGAUUGGUCUCGGCCCGAUCUUUACCGGGCGGCGCCGUUGGUCGAGAAGACGCUCGAACUUGAUCGUUUAGAGGAAGUAAAAGUCGUAACA